GGGGUGGUGGCGCAGUUGGCUAGCGCGUAGGUCUCAUAAUCCUGAGGUCGAGAGUUAGAGCCUCUCUCACCCCA
rnacentral:tRNA from 1 species